UUUAUCGCAUAAAUUAUUCACAGAUAAUUAUAUGUAGAAUUGCACUGCCCUCUCAGGAGGUGAACCGUCCCCUCGGCACUUUGUUCUCCAGGAUCUGAGAUGAUCGGGCUGUGGAAUCUGCUCCUGCUGUUUGGAUAUCAUUGCUUCAUGUCAUCCACCACAAAUGGGACACCAAAGGAGGACGAGCUUUGGGAAUGUGCAGAAAGACUGGAAGACAAUGACAGUGACAUCGAACAGCGACUGAAGACAUCCCGACCAAUGUUCUACGUGGGUAGCAGAAAUAUCGCAGUGAUGAGACCCUGGACAUUCGGUCUCUACCCGGACAAUGAAAACAUCCUCUCCGCACUACACUGGCUAGCCAAGGCUUCAAAAUGGACCGUGGCAGAGAUGCUCUUCGAUCCCACACUGGGGGUGUCGCUGCAGGACACGGAACCUUUCUUUUUGGACACGGAGAUGAACUUUUCUCUGCAUCGGAUACCCAUGUUAGACAAGGAAAAAUUAGAUACUUUGUAUUUGUCUGACAUUUUCAAGCUCAUCGCUGCACGCUACACAUACAACAUUAUCUUACAUUGUCAGAAGAGCCUUAUUUCACCCAUUCUCGAACAGGCACUUUAUCAUGGAUUGAUUGCAAGACCUUAUCAGUGGCUCAUUCCAAUGAAGGUAAAAUCAAUGAUUUCCUGUACUAUCUAAUAUAU
rnacentral:lncRNA from 1 species